UGUGUUAACUUGUGAACAGAGGUAAAAACGGCCCUUUCAUUCUAGACUAUCUUCUAAAGGACAUUACUAUAGAGAACAGUCUUAGAAAACCGAGGGUCUCACUCCAGAGCAAAGUGAAACAGGACGCCAGACGUCUGCCUGGCACAUUAAAGGAAUGCAGUGUCUCCGUGGUCUCUGGGAUGAAGCGGCUAAGGCAGGAAAGUAGGAUGUAACCUUGGAGAGCAAACACAUUGAACACUGCGUGGAUGGGAAGUCUUGACCACUUUUCUCAAAAAGUAUGGCUCUCAUUCUCCCAGCGGCUGGGAAUUCUAUGGGAUGAAGGCCCUCAACAGACAUCCUUCAUGGUGGAUUGCCUCCGCUGAAGAAAACUGCUGCUUUCCGGAGAAGUCCACAUUCAAUUAUGGAUCACAGCAGGGAUAUAAAGGUCCCCGCCACUCCCCACACAUGGGACAACUCUAAAGGGUGGGGUGUACAGUGGGACUGUUUCACAGCUCUCCUUCUCCUGUAAAAUCACCUUUCCUUCCCAGGUAGAGAUGAAAGGAAAACUCUCUAAAAAUGUCCUGCAUGUUAAAAUAUGUCUCAGAGUCUGCUUCCAGGGAAAGCUAACCUGGGCCACUAUUAAAAUAUUAAAAGAUAUAUACUUCUAAACAGUUUGCAUGAGAUUAAGGACAAUAUCAAUGAACCAAUCUAGCAUAAAUUUCCAAUACCCAGGGAAUACUGUUUAGUCCAAUUUAUUGCUUGACUUUUAUAAUAUUUCGUCUCAUUUUCUUGCCACAAAAAAAAAAAAGGAUCAAUAUUACAGUUUGGGUGGAGUUAACUUACCUUUUCCUU